AUUGCAUUUUUUCCUCAGAUUCCUCCCUCUCCUUUUGAUUUAAUAAAAUCUUCUAAAAUUGGAUUUUAGUGUCAGCUGCCUUCCUUAUGCAUCCAAAAAAGUAAUCUUCCCUGCUAAAUUGCUUGAUGUAUAGUAGUAUACGCAUCAAUCCAGGAGAAAAUAAAAGAAAAUAGGCUGAAGCUCAGCUAGAAGCUUUGUUAUUGGCAGCCCCCUCCCUUCCCCUUCCAUGUUAUAAUCCAAAGGCUGUGAGAUUUCCUGAACCUUCUGUCCAAAGAGGAAUGGAGAAGUCUGUGUGGCAACAGACUGGGUAAAAAUUGAGAUUGCAUGUGACAGAGAAAAUUAGAUCUAAUAGCUGAAGGGAAUUAGGCUACUGGCCCUAGGCUAAUUCAUUGGGUGUUUUGUUUUUCUUUUUGCAUCUGCCUCUGGCAUAAAUUAUUUGUAUUUGUCUUGGCCUAGAUUAAUGGCAGCAAUGGGUUUCGCUAUGAAAACUUGAGUUUCUGACAAGUAUGGGUACAUGGGUGCACAUGAGUGGGAUGAUUGAUGUGAUUAUGCUUCUUACAGAUCAGGAGCUGGGUCAAAUUUGAAUGAGGAAUUACCUGCUCAGAAGACCCUCAGAGCAUCAGAGAAGCGCGUAUUUCAUUUGUAUUAGAGAAGAUUGUUUAUGGGGAACAGUAAGGGUCCUAGAAGUAUUCUUGUGUUCUUAUAUAUAAGUCUGGAUGCUGACGCCUAUUGCUUUGCCAUACAGUAUGCCAACUUCCCAUUUAAUUAUUUUUAAAUUAAGAACCAAGCCAAAUGAAGUCAGAUGGUGCAAGGAACCUGCCAGAAAAUACAAUUGGCUGCAAAGAUGUUGAUGGCCGUAAAAUCAUGCCUUCUUGACAGGAGUCUUUUAUAGUUUUUCAUAGUAUAAUGGAUUUGGCCUUUCUGUUCACUCUAGUUUUCUUUUUCAUGCAGGCUGUGCUUCUUGUGAAUCCAUCUGUCAGAUUCUUUGGAACUUCAUAAUCUACCUCCACCUCAAUUGCUACUCUCAUUUACCCUCAUUUACAGCUCUGCAGGUCAUAAACUUCGUGAUUACUGUCAACAAGCUCCAGAGGGUAACGAACAGUGGUGCAACAGACAGUUUCACCUCAUUAAAGGAAAGGAGAGUGGGGAAAAAAGAUAUUCAGAGAGGAGAAAAGCCAAGAGAACACAGCUGUGAAGUGUGCUUCAAGCAACAACGUCCUUUCAUCUGUUUUCAUCAGAUUUCCUUUUUGAAAAAGGUGUUUAGUUUAAUAAUCAGUGAAAUGUUCAUUUUAAACACACACACACACACACACAACUUUAAGAGCAAUGGGAUUACCCUGAAGAAAUAGCUGCUGCCAAGGCUUUGCGAAUGAGCCUGAAAUCACGCAUGAACAGUAUCUCCAAGGAUUAACAAAGAACUCUGCUGAUAUAAAGAAACUGUUUUGGUGUGGGGGGUUUGUUUUUUUAAAAAAAAAGCUCUCCUGAAGCUGUUGCUGUGAGGGAUACAGAAAACAAGGACACAAAAUUGGUUCAAACCUGUGCAGGAAGGCAGAUAUAAGUAGGCUUUCACCCUUGAGUAGUUUUAGCAAUACAAGCCUUAAUUCCUGGUCCUCUAACACAAAGGUUGUACACUGAAACUUUGGCAAAAAAAAGCAUCUCAUUUGCCAUUAACCCUUCAUAUGCCAUUAAGUGCUUGAAGUGCACUAUAUUCCUUGGACGCUAAAUGCAGUACAGUAAUAUGAAAAACAAGGGAAGGCUGCUUUGUAGUGCUGCAAAUGUAGUAAGUACCUGCUAGGAAUACUCUGUGUUGUAUUAGGUAACCUGAUGAGAGACCAAGUAACAAAUAUUUAGCAUCCCACAUACCCCAAGACCCCACACCCCAAUUGAAAAGAGUUUGCUUAUCCACCCUUCUAAUGAUGAUAUAGUUUUAGCAUUAUCUUGUAAAUAGCAAGUUAAAAGUUGAUGCUUUAAUCUUACAUCUCUUGAUCAAAAUGCAAGUAUGAAAUAUUUAGAGAAGAUACAACAAUUAACCCUCAGACUAUUUCUAGACUGCCUUUAAAGACCAAAAUGUCUAAAAGAAUAUGUUUCAUUUUUAAUUGGUUUUCUACAUAUUGUUGGAUUUUAAAUUACAUAAUUUAAUUGCGGAGGGUGAUUUACUCUUAGGAAUGAGACGGAUCAGCUUUCAAAUGUUGCCAGCUAGAUGGAAGAUAUUUGCUCAUGAACAGCUCUCAAAUAUUUGGGAAAUGAUUUUAGCCACCAACUCGUGAGCAAAUCCUGAUUACGUGGAUCUAUUUCCCAAUGGCUGUUCUCUAAGCUAAGCAGCCUCUUGUCUCAGAUGCAUGGUUUCCAUUAUAGCUAAAUGAUCAGCUAAAGGGCAUCUGAGUCAUGCAAUAAUCACUGCCAUGAUCUCUCAUUUAUUUACUACAGCUUUUUUUUUAAAAAAAGUGGUCAUAAUAGUUAAUAGGUGUUUCAGCAGGAGAUAGCAGGCAAACAUUUGCAGAAUUGUUUUUAUUUUAACUUCUCUGCCUUUGUCCCCAGCCUUUGGAGCAUUCUGCUCCCCAAAGUUGAGGUGGGCCCCCCACAAUUUUGGCCUUCUGGAAAUGUCUGAAUACCUGGCUCUGCCAAAUUGUUUGGUGCCCAGAGGAGCAUAUGCAGCCAU